GAUCCUGGCUUAGGAUGAACGCUAGCUACAGGCUUAACACAUGCAAGUCGAGGGGAAACGACAUCGAAAGCUUGCUUCCGAUGGGCGUCGACCGGCGCACGGGUGAGUAACGCGUAUCCAACCUGCCCACCACUUGGGGAUAACCUUGCGAAAGUAAGACUAAUACCCAAUGAUAUCUCUAGAAGACAUCUGAAAGAGAUUAAAGAUUUAUCGGUGAUGGAUGGGGGUGCGUCUGAUUAG
rnacentral:rRNA from 1 species